GCUGCUCGGAUAAUCACACACCUCUCUGUGGUGAGCAGCAGGCAACGAUCUUAUGAGCGGCUGAGAUAUG
rnacentral:ribozyme from 1 species